AAGUGUAACAGCUCUUUUAGAAUUUGUCUAGCAGGUUUUCUGGUCCUUACCGGAUAACCCUC
rnacentral:snRNA from 1 species